rnacentral:lncRNA from 1 species
ACAGAAAUGACACAAUGAACUCUGCUAACAGUGUACAGAAAUGAGAAAUAUUAAUCUGCUGCUAAGGUCAUGAGAUUGAAAAUGAAUAUACUGCUGAAAGCAUGGGAUUGAUUGGAAUUCUUUCAUGAUUUGCAAAAUCCGCCAUGGUAGUUGAGUUCAUAGAAUUUGCUUCAUGCAGUAAGCAAGCGAAAUGGCUUAGGAAUUCAUCAAGGGAGAUUCCUAUUUGGCUUAAAUCGAUGCCACAAGUUUCCAUCCAUUGUGAUAUGAAGCAUCUUUGUCUAAUGCUUGUAUUCAUGUCUAU